CUCCGUUAAAUCCAGCGAUUCAAUCGUUGGACUGCGGGGGAUACUCUUGGGCUUGGGGACGGGAGAGGUCGACGGUAUUCUCGGAGUAGGGGUGAAAUCCUAUAAUUCCGGGAGGACCACCAGUGGCGAAGGCUGUCGACUGGAACGAGCUCGACGGUGAGGGACGAAAGCUGGGGGAGCGAACCGGAUUAGAUACCCGGGUAGUCCCAGCCGUAAACGAUGCGGGCUAGGUGUUAGGGUGGCCACGAGCCACUGUAGUGCCGCAGCGAAGGCAUUAAGCCCGCCGCUUGGGGAGUACGGUCGCAAGGCUGAAACUUAAAGGAAUUGGCGGGGGAGCACCACAAGGCGUGAAGCGUGCGGUUUAAUUGGAGUCAACACCGGAAACCUUACCGGGGGCGACAGCAGGUUGAAGGCCAGAUUGACGAUCUUGCCAGACAAGCUGAGAGGAGGUGCAUGGCCGUCGCCAGUUCGUCGCCGUGAGAUGUCCUGUUAAGUCAGGCAACGAUCGAGACCCACGUUCCCUGUUGCUACCAAGGAAAGUUUCCAAGGGGCACUCUGGGAGGACAGCCGCCGAUAAGGCGGAGGAAGGAGUGGGCCACGGCAGGUCAGUAUGCCCCGAAUCCCCCGGGCCACACGCGUGCUGCAAUGGCCGGUACAAUGGGUUCCGACCUCGUGAGAGGAUGGUAAUCCCUAAAGCCGGUCGUAGUUUGGAUCGAGGGCUGCAACCCGCCCUCGUGAAACUGGAAUGCCUAGUAAUCGCGUGUCAUUAACGCGCGGUGAAUACGUCCCUGCUCC
rnacentral:rRNA from 1 species